CCUACGGGAGGCAGCAGUGGGGAAUAUUGCACAAUGGGCGGAAGCCUGAUGCAGCGACGCCGCGUGAGGGAUGACGGCCUUCGGGUUGUAAACCUCUUUCAGCGGGGACGAAGCGAGAGUGACGGUACCUGCAGAAGAAGCACCGGCCAACUACGUGCCAGCAGCCGCGGUAAU
rnacentral:rRNA from 1 species